rnacentral:tRNA from 5 species
GGGGACUGCAAAUCCUUUAUCCCCAGUUCAAAUCCGGGUGUCGCCU